AUAGCCGGUUCCCGUCAUCUCUGUGAUACGCAGGAGAUAAAAAGAUCCACGACACGAGGGAGAGCGAUCGAGAAAGCAAGAGUUAUCGAAAUUUUCCUCUGACAUCCAUGAUUUUUCCAUCAGUUGGGCCAAGAAGAUUUUCUGAUAUUUAAGACGGUUCUGGCAAUUAUUUCUACCCGUUGCAUCAAUUUCGCAGAUCAAAAUAUGAUAUCUGGAUACGGAACUUUAGAACUUGUGACAGUUAAGCGAGUCAACAGCAAGAUAUCGAACAAGAGAGAAAGAGACUUGUAAAAAAAAUAGAGUAAGAUAUAUGUAUAUAGUGUGAUAGUUGCGCCCAGUUAACAGACCUCUGCUCUAGAAUAAAUUAACAAGAUUAAGCUAAAAAAGGCUAUUGUUUCCAUGUCAAAGCAUUAACAGCUGUGAUGUUUAUUACUGAGACGUCAACAACUAGAGAUAUUUGUUUAGAAUUUCUGCCACACUUUAAAAGUUCCUGCGUAUUAAAGUUAUAUAUUCU